CUAGAUCUAAAGCUUAAGGACUAUGGAGUGGAUCUCAUUGAAGUUUCAGGCAAUGGAUGUGGGGUAGAAGAAGAAAACUUCGAAGGCUUAACUCUGAAACAUCACACAUCUAAGAUUCAAGAGUUUGCCGACCUACCUCAGGUUGAAACUUUUGGCUUUCGGGGGGAAGCUCUGAGCUCACUUUGUGCACUGAGGUGAUAAAAUAUUUUUAUCCAUUCACUUGACCCCUUAGAAAAACCUCUCUGAAAAUUAAUUGGAAUCAUUAUUAUUUACAGUUUUCUGUCUCAAUAUCUCAGCUUCCAGCUUCUGAAUUCUGUUUUGUCUCACUGCCAAUCUAAGUCCUAGUACUUCU
rnacentral:lncRNA from 1 species